rnacentral:rRNA from 1 species
UACGUAGGGUGCGAGCGUUGUCCGGAAUUAUUGGGCGUAAAGAGCUUGUAGGCGGUUUGUCGCGUCUGCCGUGAAAAUUCGAGGCUCAACCUCGAACUUGCGGUGGGUACGGGCAGACUAGAGUGUGGUAGGGGAGACUGGAAUUCCUGGUGUAGCGGUGAAAUGCGCAGAUAUCAGGAGGAACACCGGUGGCGAAGGCGGUUCUCUGGGCCUGUACUGACGCUGAGGAACGAAAGCGUGGGGAGCGAACAGG